ACACCCCAUAGUCCAUCAAUGCUGGGCGGAUAAGUCAAGCGUUUUGAAGAGUUAGAUGGAUAAGCAUACCGGCAGUUCGUAUGCUAAACGGCAGGAGUCCCGAUCGAUCUUUUAGGACGGGAGUUUGUUAGCUAACAACCAGAGCGGCGAGACCAGGUAUAAGGAGGGCUCGGGUCGGCUGCUCUCUUUUGGGGGGAGCGGGGCGGAGGAGCACCGCGGCGCCCUACACGAAGAGCCAACACGCAUCGCAGCUGGCUAAUCACAGCGCGUGCCCAAGGCGGCGGCGGCGGCAAGCUGCGCACGAAGAGAAAAGGAUAGCUCUCAGAGCAGAACACAACACGAAGUACACGCAGAAGCAAAAGAAGUCCUUGACGUGCUGCUGGUCUUGGGUCUUGCAUAUGCAUCAACGAGGAUGCCGUCUUCUCCUCCACCAUGCAUGGGUAUACGUAUACUUUUGUUUCUAUUGUUUUUUUUCCUCGAUCCAGAUGCAGAUGCAGAGAUGAGGGCAGUAUGAGAAGAGAGCAGCGGGAGGAAGAUAGCUGGAGAGAGGCAGGCAAUCGGAGGAGCAGCACUACGUCAAGAUGAAGAAGAGGAUCAGAAGAUAGAGGAGGAAGAAGCCAGGCGGCCACCUCCGGAAGAUGACUCGGAGGAGGAUAUUCAAGACAAGAUCGCUUCAGGCGACUGCUCUUGCAGGGAUUGCAGCAGAAGGAAGAUCCUUGAGAGAAGAUCAGCCGGAAGGUGCAGGUUGGCCGCCAAAGGGAUUAUCAAGCUGAUCGAUGCAGAGUGUUGCAGUUGUGUCAUCGAGUAGUCUUCAGUAUACUUGAUUACGAAGAAGAGUUAGAAGAUGUCAUACAAGGCUCCUGUACAGCGCCAGCAAGGAGAUCAUGCUCUUCAAUUUCCAGCGGUGCCUUCGUUUCAAGAGCAGAUCGUCGGGACGGCCUAACGGUCGAUCUCGCAUCUUCAACAAGAGAUAAGAGAUAGUUUUAUGGCAUCCGUGGCUCUACCCGGCGCCGUGUCGCUGCCACGGAUGGACGAUCGUACUCGUGUGCUUCUACAAAAUUUGUGAUGUUCGCGGCUCUACCCAACGCCGUGUCGUCGUCACGGGCGGCUAAAAAAAAAGAAAAAGAUGUUUUGUGGCAUCCGUGGCUCUGCCUGGUGCUGUGUCGCAGACACGGAUGGACCACCAUUGCCGUCUAUGAAUUUGUGAGGUCCCCGGCUUUACCCGGCGCCGUAUCGUCGUCGCGGACAGUUAAUAAAAAAAAAGAAAAAUAUACGAUGGCAUCCGUGGCUCUGCCCGGCGCCGCGUCGUCGCCACGGAUGGACCACCAUUGCCAUUUACAAAUUUGUGAGGUCCGCGGCUCUACCCGGCGCCGUUUCGUCGUCACAGAUGGUUAAUAAAAAGAAAGAAAGAGAUACUAUGGCAUCCGUGGCUCUACCCGGCGCCGUGUCGUCGCCACUGAUGGACCACACCGUUGUCAUAUAUUUCUACAAUCUUUGUGAUGUCCGCGGCUCAUCAUGUGUCGUGCGGACGGUCACUCUUCAUUUGUGAAGAAGAGGCAACAACUGCUAGGCAUCUCGUGUCUCCACAUGAAGAUCUUUAUUUCGUUCCCAAGGAUCGUCGGUUGGAAAGGGCAAAGCUCCAAGGUCACAGGUGCUCUAUGAAACAUGUGUACAUUGUGGCCGAUGGAUGGCAUACAUACACAUAAGAGAUUACUGCAAGAAGCCCUGCUUCAUAGGCUGAUCACAAGAACCAGAAAAUAGAGAUUAAUUCAUUGUUUGAAGCAUCAUUGUUUAGUCUUGUGUGCCUUCCGUGGCCACCAUCACCCUUCACAUGCUGAAUGUUGAAUAGACGAAGCAAGAAAAGAUUAGUUGUGCAUUGUCAUAUUGUUAGAUCAAGAUGAACUCCAAAGAGAAGUCAAGAGAUUUGUUGCUAGUCUGGUACAACCGAAUAUCUUCAUUGAUAUCGUGAUGGUCACGGUCGCUAAGAGCGCAGAUGAGACCAGAGGUUUAGAUUCUCAUAUCCGACCGACAAGGCUGGGUUUCAUGAUUUAAAUGUCAUCUGAUAUUAAUUCUCAUACGGCUAUACAUGAGACAAAAUCAUUGUAACACACAUUUGUAUGUAAACAAUCAUAUAGUGGAUUUGGCCUCCGGGCCACCGUGGUUUUUUCCCGAUUUAGGGUUUCCACGUUAAAACAUGUGUCCCUUGUGUUUGUGUUAUUUGUUUGGCUGCAUAACCUUGCGAUGAUCUGAGCUCAAGAUUUUAUAAAAAUGACCAUUGACACUUUGGUGUAGCUUAAUCGGAGGUGUUCUGCGAUUAUAUAUACCGCAGAUGUAAUUAACUGAAAUUCUUUCAAGAUUUCAGGAAUCAAGAAUCCUUGCAAUCGUCAAAGUCAGAUGAUUAUCCAAGCCGCACUUCAGAAAAUACAUGUGAAAAGGAAAUUUUUAAAUUGUCAAGAAUCGACAAAAUACAAGUUUUUCUAUUCCCAUUUGUUUAUAUCAAUUCAAUUUGUAUACUAUAGUAUAUUGGCACGCCCGCACCCAAAACGCCAUAGCAGAUAAAUUUAAAUAUUUAUCUUGCAAAAACAGGGGGAUAGAAAUGGGAUUGGGCAUGGGUGGUCGUACUCCAUCAGGUACAACUCCGACGAGAUCUUGGCCGCCGGAGCCACGAAGGCCGCUGGGGACUUCCCUGCCCAUGCCACCGCCACUGUCGAUGGCAUCGUCGCGAGCGAUUUCUCUCUCUUCCUUGUUUCUCGUGGGUACGCAGGACGGGAAAGUCGAGAGGGGUGGGCAGCGGGUGUGCGGUGCCAUAAGUGUUAAUUCUAGCGAGGUGGGCACCGAGAAGGGGAUGAAGGCCAUGGCCAGGAAAGAGGGACUGCGGCAGAGAGAGGCGUGUGAGAGAGGAGCGCUGGGGGAGAGAGACAGAGUCGAUCCAGGAUAGGAUAGGAUAGGAUAGGAUCCGCAAGGGCUCGGUGGGGACGGUUGGCUUGCUCCACAGACGAAGCUGUGCGGGCCUUUGACUUUCUCUCCGUUUUUUCCAUGCAGGGAUGCAUCGAUUGUUGAGGGAUGGACGUACGGCGGUGACCGUACCAUCACCACCAACUCCAAUUUAAUAUAUUGGUAUAGAUAUCAAUCGAUACAAUCAAUGAGUUUUACUACUCGCUGCAAUCUUAUUACAAGAAAACAAAAAUAACAACUCUAAACAGACCCAGCGACUAGACAACCAUCCCUUGGGCCUAUUUUGCGCUGCUCGGCCUUCAGUUUUUCUUCUUUUUGGGCUUCGCCCCUUGCCCCUCUCGAGUUGAAUCCUGGACGUUGAGGCUCUGAACAGUCUGAAGCCUGCCUGAACAAGUUCAUUAGUUCAAUGACCAAUCUUUAGCAUCCUAAACCUGAAUAAUUUCUGAACGCUUCUUCUCAAUUGGUCUCAGCAAUCAACGGGACCAGAUUGUUGAGUAGCCUACAUACGGUUUUCCUUUGCCCAAUACGCGCGUAUACCCUCCUCCACCCACUCCCAGGUGUAUAUAAACACCACUGAAGUCUAAGCCUCCAAAACCCCUACUAAUCACUCACACAUCAAAGAAUUAGUUAGAAGCUUCUAACUUCUAAACUCGAGAUGGGCAACAAGAAGAAGCUUGCCCCAUUCUUCCUGGCCAUCCUUCUCAUCACCACAUUAUGUAUGUAAGUCGAAUUAAUCAAUCCUAGAUGGAUUUCGCUUCACAAAUUAAUGCGUGUGAAAUCUGUGCAGUACUUGAGAAGGUGCCGGAUCAGGUUGCGGGCGAUGAUCUGGUGUGCAACAUCAGAUGGCAGCCGUGCACCGGCGUGUGUUACAAGUCCGGCAAGUGCAUGCGCUGCUGCAAGCAAUACGGCUUCUACCAUGGCCGCUGCAUCCUCAUUAAAGGCGAUGGCUGCUACUGCUGCCACGAUCCCAACCACUCCGGCGAUGGCGGCGACGACGGCCAGCAGCAGCGACGGCAUUGAUGAGCUUCUUCGGCGUAGUGUUAUUGGGGAGAGAUGUCAUGAUCCCAGAUGACACCACCACAGCAUGCUAUAUGAUGAAUCUAAAUAAUUGUACUUCCCUCCACAUCUUACGACUCUUUAGCGUGCACGUUAUGUCACUACUAAGAAAGAGAAAAUGCAGAAUUACAAAGAAUGCUUACAAGAAAAUUAAAAUAGAACAGUAUAUUUUUCGUCUCUCAAGUCUCUACAUGUUGCUUAUACCGAAAAUACUGGUUCCUCGCUCUGGCUCUCGCUCUGGUUUUGUAGUUCAGAGACAAUCUCUAGACUUGUGCAGCAGUAGAGGAACAACAAGAAAAUCAAAUGAAAAAGAUAAGCAAACCGUAGGGAAGUACCCUCAUAUCGAUCUAAGUAUAUGAUACAAAAAUUAAAUUUUACAUGUGUCUUUCAGUUCUAUAAAGAUUUCAAGAUUUCAGUUGGUGGCGGCGGUCCGUCUACCAUCGAUGUUUUUUCCUUUCUUUAUGUGGCAUUUACCAUCUUAAAAAUCGGCAAAACUUUCAGUGGCACGUAUGAAACAUGAAACAUACAAUCGAAAUACAACUGCAGCAAUGCACAUAUAUUAAACUAGUCUAAGAAACAGAAAAGAGAGGCGAUUAUUAAUGUUGGACGUAUAUAGGAGUGUGACUGUCAGACCUAACUGGUGUUCAGUUCACGCAAAGAAUGCCUGUCUGAACUGGAGUGAAUGGAUUCUGUUGAGUACACAAAAGCUAAUUCACUCGGGUCCCAAAUCCGCCCACUUACCCUUAUUUGUGGCCACUGAGAGAGUGAGAGGGACAGAUUGCAGUGUGCCACUGUGGCUGGGUUUGGUGAUACAGAUUGACCCUUCUAGAAACUGGACAGAGGUUUGGUCCGAUUAACGCUGCCGUUUCCUCGUCUGCUGAUGUUCUGAUGCUUCGACUAUCGGUUUGUCCAUUUGUCGAUUCGAUCGUAUAUAUGUUUCGGUUGAAAUUUUCAGUUUGUGACUAUGUUUUUCAGACAUAUUAUAGUCAACACCUCUAAUUCAAUACACCGCCUUUCUCUUACGAAAAACAUAAGAACGGUUCAUAUCACACCUUACCCCUUCAUAAAUAAGGGCAUUAAACAAUAUUUUCUUCUUUUUUUUCGCCUGGCUCUGAACAACAUUCGGUGUUUAGAGGGACAUAUUGGAUUAAUCCCUUUUAUGAGACAUGCAUGUAUUGAGAUGCAGUUAAAUGUAUGUGAUUAGAAAUGCGACGAGUAAUUAAAGUAACAACAUGUGCUAUAUGAGUGCAUUAAUAAUAUGUAUGACUUCCGAACAUAAGUAAUUAAAGUAACAACAUGUGCUAUAUGAGUGCAUUAAUAAUAUGUAUGACUUCCGAACAUAAUAAUGUAUCGUACCUUUUCUUUCCCGAUGUUCAUUUUUGCAGAUAACUAAACUUACACCAGAAAAGAAGCUUUCUGACAACACCUUCACAUGAGUUCGCUGCCUUCAAGAACUCGUACAUGUUGACCAAAGCAAGUGGUAGACCAAUCCAAAAAGAUUAUACAACCACAUGUUGAAACUUCAUUGUGCAGUAACUAUAGGAUAUGGCAGUGGAACUGGAUAACAUUAAACAUCAACUCAUCUUAGACAGAUAAUAUUGUACAUCUGACUGCGCGGUGGUAGAAUAACUCAUCUUCUGCUAUAUUUCUCGAUUUUCUUGCUACUCCGUAUUAGUUCUCUCUCUUUGCCAUGCGGGGACCCACGUAUACAUGGAUUGCGGGUAAAAAUAAAUUCGAAAAGGGGGAAAUCGCCGGCCAAUUACGGGUGAAAUUAAUGGAUAUGUGUAUCUUCAUUUCCAAGCAUUAAACAUUAAUGGUAUUUAUGUGCGUUAUUAUGUGCCUAAAAAUAUGAUGUUUGCAUGUAACCCCAAGAAUUAUAAAUAGACAGCCAGAGGCCAGAGCUUUCAGUCUACAUCACUAAAUUCAGUCAAACUUGAUCCAGGCAUGGGGGCCAAGUUUGCAACGGCUGCCUUCUUCUUCCUCCUCCUCCUGACCUUUGGUUUUGGUGAGCCCCUUGUCAUCCAAAAAUAAAAUCUUAUGCAGAAAAGCAUUUUAAUUACUAGUUGAGUUGGUUGAGCAGGUAAGGAGGAGAAGCCAUGCGAAGCUCCCAGCAAGACCUUGGAAGGCGUCGAGAGCAUUAAGGACAAGUGCGAAGCUGCCUGCAUCGGCGAGGGCUACAGAGACGGAUACUGCAAGCACAUAAUGCAGCCUGGAUGCAUUCAUACUAACCGGUGUCACGAUCUCGGCCUGAACGAAUCUAGAUGCAUUUAUACCAAUCGGUGUCAUGAUGAAAGCCUGACUGAAGCUAGGGACGACUAGACUACCCGCAUUUGUCGAUCUAAUGUAUGAUAUGUAUGCUUCAGCUGAAAUUUUCAGAUUGUGCCUUUGUGAAAAUGGAAUGCAGAAAAUAAUGCACGGGAUGGUUGGCACCUAAUGUUUGAUGUUUCUCAGACACAACAUAAUCAAGAACUGCACAAAAAUAAGCCUGGGACUUUGCACAUUUUUUACACCAAAGAUUGUUGUUGCACAUAAAGCUGAGGCUGGAAAUGUCCUUUUUCUAAAAACAUUUUCUUAAAAAAAGAUGGUUGUGCAUAAUCAAUGGGUAAGAUUGCUGCCCCGGCAGGCUACCUGCCGUGAUACACAGGCAACCAAGUUUCUGAAGUUCGAACAGAGCAAAGUACGGGCUGCACUGCAGAACAGAAGUUUGGUUUACUGCCGAAACUGAAUGAAAACAGUGUGCGAGAUCACACGAUUGGGUUUUGAGAUUGUUGUGUGUUUUGUAGAAUGGUUCAGUGCAUGGUUCCUUGUGUGAUAAUCUCGUCCAAAAUACUGUAUGGUUUCGAGAAUGGUCAGGUAUAUGGUUUUUAGUUUUGAGAAAAAAAAUUAGAGACAGUUUUGAGAAUGUUGUGAAAAACAGGAUUCCAGUUGUAUACGAUCCGCCUGUAUUGUACUCAACAAAAAAUGUCUCCUUCGUGCCAUAGAUACAUACAAUUCCUCUUCCUCCUUGCUUUGUUUUCUUCAGCGCCAUGGUUACCCAGAAGGUACCUGACCCCAAGCGGAUUUUCAUCUAUUCAUUUCAGUGCAUGAACCCGUUACUUGACCCAAUGCCAUGCCAGCCACCGGCAUCUUAAAAAAGGACACGCAAAAUCACCACCGUACUAAGUGUUUGGAACAUUACUGCUGCAUGGGGCAGACAGGUUCGGCGUGCGGUUGGGCCAAAAGACACCGGAGACAGAGAGGGCGAACAAACAGUUUGGGAAGAUGUCCAAUAUCUUUGGGACACAGAACCCAGAUAAAAAAUGUCCAUCGCAGAGAGAGAGGGAGGGAGAAGGUAGCUAAAAAAAUGUUUAGCAAAACUACUGCAAACCCCAAGCUAAGCUAGCUAUAGAUGGUCCUUGGCAGGGCGGAGGCAGAAAAAAAUCACUCCCUCCGUCCCAUAAAGUGACUCAAAUUUGUCUAAAUAUAUACUAAAAUACGUCUAAAUACAUGUAAUAUUUCGGUAUUUAAUAUGGGACGGAGAGAGUAUAUGAGGUUCAAACCAGAAAAAACUGUUAUUAGGAACAGCCAAAGCGUAAAAAAAACAGUCUAUAGUACACUAAUUGCAGGGACCUAAGCAUAAUUUUUGAAUCCUAGGGGGGAGGCCCUGCUGGUAUCCGCUGCCUCCACCACUGGUCCUAGGGUGGCAGAGGAUGAGAUAAAGUCGCACAGAGUACAGUGAUGUAACAAACAUAAUGAACCACAACAAUGAACAUAAUGAUAGACAAAAUGGAAUUUGUGCACAUCAAAGAACAAUGGACGAAUGGAUAAGUCUACUACAGUUUUUGGGGUAAUCAAACACCUCAGCGUACGAUGAAAGUCUAUUCCAAUAUCUUCGUGGAGAAGUAAGAAAUAUUAGUAAAAAAUAUUUAGAGUCCGAUGUGAUGAAGUAUUCUAAAAAAUAAAUAUUUGUAAUAUAAUGUUUAGGAUGAUGACACUUGUCAUGCAUUUAAUGGUCUUCUACAAAUAUAAUUAGGGUGCUCCGUCAACCCAUGAAGUGUACCAUAACUAAAGGUGUACCACACCAAGAAAUAGAACAUGUACCACCACGGGAAAAGAAAUGAUCUAACAUGAUUGAGUUGUAUAUUUAGUAUUUGACUGGCCCUCAUAUAUAACAUAUAUUUUAAAAUUGAGGUGAGGUGGGGGGGGGGGGGGCAAUGGCCCCCAUAUAUAACAGAUAUUUAAAAUUGAGUUGGGGGCAAUGGCCCCCAUAUCGGAUAUUGGAUUCAUCCCUGUUUACGAGACAUGCAUGUAUUGAGAUUCAAUUAAAUAUAUGCGAUUAGAUAUGUGACAAGUAACUAAGAUAACAAAAUAUUAUAUAUGAGUGCAUUAAAAAUACUUAUGACGUCUGAACAUAAGAUUUAUUGCUUUCUUCCCCGAUGUUCAUUCUUGCAGAUAGGAUUCUAGACGUAUACCAAAUAAGAACCAAAUGGCCGAGGAGAAAGGCAGGAAAUCAAUACCUGGGUUGCGGACAUACCGUUGGUAUACAAUAAUGCUAUUACAUCAACCUGAAACUCAUCGACGCUGCCAUCAACUAUACCAAAAACGUCAUUCUUGUUUUCCGCAAUAACAUUGGGAAGACUCUGAUCAAUAUCAAGAAGCAAAUGAUGACCUCUGACGAGGCCGAUUUCGUCACUGCCAUCUUCAUCAUGAUCUACGACGAAGACCACGUAUCAAGGCUUGAUUUUAAUUUUCAGCCAUCCUUAUCCUCUCAUGAGACGCGGUGGGGCUGCUGAGCUAUAUCGGCUCCAAUGCGCAUCCCACGGCGACUAUCCAGUUUCAGCAAACCAUCAUCGACACCCGGGUGGUCGCAGCUUACUUUUCUCGUGGCUCGCGUCAAGGGACAAGAUCCCGGCGAUGUGGCCGCCCGGCUCGUUGGCACACGUAGACGGUAACGGCACGGACAUCAUCGUUCAGUUCAACAUCAUGUCGGGGACGUCUAUGGCGUGCCCGCACGUCAACGGCGUCGCCGCUUUGCUGCGCGCGGCGCAUCCUACGUGGAGACCGACGAUGGUCAAGUCCGCCAUGAUGACCACGGCGUCCAAUAUAGACAACACAUUUCGGCCAAUCACGGACGCUGGCAACGCCCUGCCGGCCAUGGGCUCAGGACACGUCAACGCCAACUCGGCCAUGGACCAGGGGAUCGUGUUCGAUGCCGGGCCGAUGAAUUAUGUUGCUCUGCAUUGGGUCGCCAACUACACCAGCGUCUAGAUCGCGGCCAUCACCACUGCAGCGUGCAUCUGCUCUAACUCUAAACUCUAGCAUCUCCUCCAACCAGUCCAAUUACCCGUCCUUAGUGAUUCAAUUAAAUAUAUGUGAUUAGAAAUAUGAAAGUAACUAAAGUAACAAAAUGUGCUAUAUGAGUGACUUAAAAAUGCAUAUGACGUCUCAACAUAAUAAUGUGUUUUACCUUACUGAUUCAUUGUUUUCUUCCCCAAUGUUUAUUACUGCAGAUAGCUAGACUCACACCAGAAAAGAAUCAUAUAGCCCGGGAGAAAACCACGUUCCAGGUGGAAAUCAAGAUGAUUGUGCGCAUUGGAGACGAGCCGGCCUUCGGUGCUCUGGUCUCAGCCAACGACAGCGGCAAGUAACGUGUCACCACUCCCUACGUCGUCCUUUGAUCGAUGCUCGCCCUAUCCUAGUCCAGAUUAAUACGUAAUUCAAGAAGGGGAUGAAACAUUCAUUCCCGAGGGUAAUGGAUUUGGAAGCUCUAGUAAGAUGAAUCCAACCCGUAGCAGUAGUCAGCUUAGAUUUAAGAUUAGUAUAGCAAAUUUGUGUUGGCCAAAUUUGGCCUAGCUUGUAUCGGGCAGAUCGGUGGUGCAUCUGUUGUUUGUUGGUACGGAACAACAAACAAAUGUCUAGAUUAAUUUGUGAUCCUUAAAAGUAUGUGAUGUUAAAUGAAAUCGACAACUAUGGUUGGAUCAUUACGGACGGACAUGUUAACAUGGGCGGCCCUCCGCUACUCGAUCGACCGCCUUCUUAAUGUUUCGUAUGAUUAGUGUUCCACAUGAAUUUCGUUCUUCUUAGAUUGCCAUAAGAGGAAGAGCUGGCCAGCAAUGACAACGAAGGGAUCUGUGUGGAGGAAGGAUAGAGGCGGUGUCAGGUUUGGGGAUUUCUGAACUCUGAAGAUGUGAAAGUCAAAGGCUGAAGAGAACGUUUCAUCAGUUAAAAGAGUGGUUAAGAUGGAAGCGGAACACAUAAAUGAUGAUCGACGGUCCAUAUGGCUUGCCGGAAAGUAAACAGUAUUUACUCAAACUGUUUCAGUAUUCAGUUAACUACGAGCUCACGGGGUAUAUAAUUAACCCGCAGCAGUCGAUGAAAGAGAUGAGAAAUUGAGAUAUAUUCUAGCGUCUAGUUACUUUAGCUUAAGCUAGCUAGGGUUCAUCUAGUUCUUCCACGAAUUUACUCGAGAUAUAUCCCCAAAUCCAUCGACAAAUUUUCUUUUGUCAUGUCAAGAAGCUUAAAAUGAACCCUACAAGGCUACAACCAUACCGUGGCCAUUAAGUCAUUGGUAACUGCCCAAUGACUCCACAAUAUUACUAAUCGGUAUUGGUUGUUGUAGUUAUGACCCGAUUAAACCUACAGUUUAAAUCACUUUUAAACUGGUAGAAUAAAGAAAAGGAUUAUUGCAUGAUUUAACGAAAAAAAUAAGAUGUACCGUAUUUUAUUGCUACCGAAGGCGUGAAUACCAUGGUUUAAGACUGAUUUUUUGUGCAAAGAUCUAUGAGAGUGGCCGCGUGCGGGUUUUAGCCAGGCCAUCAGGUGAUAGCCCGGUGGUAGAACAACCCUUUCCAACUUUCAUCUUCUUUUGAGAGAGGUUCCAACUUCCAAGUUGAUAUCUAGUGGCAUUCAGCGCGCGUUCUGCCUAUCUCUCUCCAUGUGGGCCCUCGUUUAAUUGAAAACACAAAUUUAGUAAUCAAUAAAGUGUACCUUUUUUUUCUAGAAUACCAAUAAAUUGUACCUAAUUUACACGUAAAGUUAAUGGGCGUGCUUAUCUUGAUCUCUGAGGCAUUAACGAAAUUUAUGUGCAUGAUUAGAGAUGCCAAAAAAAGGAUAAUCACAUCUGACCCCAAGCACUAUAAAUAGAAACCUAGAUCUCCUCGUAACUCUCGUGUACCCAACAAAAUCCAGUACGUCCGCCUUCACUCGCAAGCAUGGGGGCCAAGCUCGCGGGGACUGCCUUCUGCUUCUUCCUUCUCCUCACCUUUGGUUUUGGUACAUAAUACUACUACUACGCAUAUGUUAAUUAACCCGACAACUAACCUAUCUAACUGGCUAAUUGUUUGCAAUUCUUAAGAUGAUAAUUAAGAGGGUUGGUUGAUAAAUUGAUGAGCAGGUAAAGAGGAGACACCAUGCGAAAGGCCCAGCAAGUAUUACCAGGACGUCGAAUGUUUCGGAUCCAAGUGCAAGAAUGCCUGCAUUGGGGAGCAUUUCAGAGACAGGUACUGCAAUUACUUAAGAUGCAUAUGUACAAACCAUUGUGUCAAUGGAAGCCCGAUUGAAGCCAGGGACGGCUAGAAAUCUUAAAUUUCGGCGUUUGUUCAAAUGGAAUAUAAGCAAUAAAGCAAACAAUAUUGUGUGAUGGUUGAUCGACCUGAUUUUUGCUAUUGUUCUGACAAAGCAGAGAGUUGCGUAAUCUCUGUAUAAGUUAUGUAUUGAACGCCAGAGUUGGUUGCACAUUAAAGGUGAGGACAGAAAGAUCUUUUCCGCUAAAAAAUUUGGUUGCACAUAACUUAACAAGUAUUGAUCUACUCCCUCCAUCCAAUAAAGGAUGUCUCAACUUUGAUUAAAAAAAAUGAUAAAUAAGUGGUCCACAACAUUAUAAAUAGACAGACCCGGGUUUCUGCUAUAAAAUUCCCAAAAAUUGGGUAACUUAUGUUAUAUAUGUCCUCAUUUUUAAUAAAAGUUCAAGAUUAAUGAGCACAUGUUCUGAUGAUUUCAGCGAAAAUUUGAUGAGUGAUAGUUUUGUAAUUUAAAUUAUGCUUGAUUCAUACAGUUCCCGUCGGAAGGUGCAGAAAAAAAAACAGAUGACUAGGCUACAGUGGCCGGAGCCACUAGAUCCGCCGGUUCCGAUGUAAAAGCGCGACAAUUAAAAAAAGCUCGAGCAAAAACAGCCGUCGUUUAAAAAAUGAAAGCUAAAGUUAAUAGCAACAAUCAUACUCCCAAACUAUGCACGUAUACUCUUGGAUCCACAUCCUCUUUACUCUCAAACUCUUGGAUCUACAUAUCCUCCGUCAAAGAAUCAUGGCUCCACAACACCACUAGUGUCGGCCUUCAAAGGAAGGUGUUUGCCUCGCUGUGACAUGGGAAAUUUGGAAUGAGCUGACAGAAUCUUUUGAAACGUGGCAACCACACCGCCCAUAAUUAUCAGGAGAAUAAAAUUUGGCACUUGCCAAAUUCCUCGGACCUUAUCCCCGGGUAUUAUCUAGUCUUACGUUUUGGCCGUCUUGACAGUGGUUUGCUUUCUUUUGACUGUGUUCACCCUUAUUUCAACUCCCUCUUAAUUAAUUGAGACAGACUUUUAGCCUCUCAUUAAAAUCAUUUUUUUGAUAAAAAACAAACAAACUUAAGAGCAAGAAUGAAAAGAGGUAGAGUACUGAACAACCAUCAUCCAGUAUGGCGCAUACCUUGCCGCAAGACCAGAAUUAAUCUUAGCCAUCGAUGAAAAGAUAAAAUUUGAAGUGCCAAAACCGGACUGAAAAUUUUGAAUUUCGGAUGGGUACCAAAACUUUCUCCAAAACAAAAUUUUGAACCUUAAAGCCGGAUAGUGCAGACAAAUAGUGCACCUUGGAUGCGUACAUCGUGCCGGAUGCGUACUAACAGUGUGACGACUGACGACCAAGCGGACGGUAAAUAUAAGAAAAAAGUAGCCUCUCCGUUCCUAAUUAAUUGGCGCCGGAUGUUUUGCAAAGACACCCUAUAAAUUUCUGAAAUAAACCUGCAGUCCACAUCUUCAAUUUUUUUUGUUUUUACAUCUUCAAUUAAACAUGGACUGCACGUUGAUUUCAAAAAAUAACAGGGUUUUUUUCGAAAAAGUUCUGAUAUAACGUGGACUGCAGAUUUAUUUCUGAAAUUUACAGUGGUUUCUUUGCAAAACAUUCGGCGCCAAUUAAUUAGGAACAGAGGGAGUAGUAGUAUUCAACAAAAUUAAUGGUAAAGAUUAUUUGUUCGAAAAUGUGCAAAAUCUUAAAGGUCGUAUUCUAGAACUCUCGGAUAAAUGUUUCUACAAGUGAUGGGGCAGAGGUUGAAGUUUAGAACAGCUAGCCCUUUCCAACUUCCAACUUUUUUCUGAGAAGUUCCAACUUCCAACUUGAUACUCCAGUAGUAUUCAGCGUGCUCUCUAUCUCUCUACCAAAGCACAAAAUAAGUAACACACUGUAAAAGUUUAAAUAUUACAUGUUUACUGAGUUAGAGGGAAAAUAAGAGUACAAGGAAGAGAAACAGGCUGCUAAUUAACAACCGGCUGCAGCACUGGCUCCCUGUGAGAAAUGAGACGUGAGCCAAGUCUUAAUAAAUAGUGCAUGUUUACAGACUACUAUACAUACUAGUUACUGCACCGGUAGCUGAUUGUACUGUUAUCUUUGCUCUAAGUUAAGCACAAUGUUAAUGGACAUGCUUAUCUUGAUUCCCGACGCACUAAUGGUAUUUAUGUACAUGAUUAUCUGCCAAAAAAAAGGACAAGCACAUUUGACCCCCGAGCGCUAUAAAUAGACACCUAGACCUUCUCAUAACUCUUGUCCACCCACCAAAACCCAGGUCACCUUCAUUCACUACUGAUUCAGGCAUGGGGAGCAAGCUUGCCGCGACCGCCUUCUGCUUCUUCCUCCUCCUCACCUUUGGUUUUGGUAAUAAUACAAUUACCACACAGAUGUUAAUUAACCCGACACCUAUCCUAACCUAAUUGGCUAAAUUUUUUUGUAUACAAUUCAUAAACUGACAAUUAGGGUGUUGAUUGAUUAACUGAUGAGCAGGUAAGGAGAAGACGCCAUGCGAAAGGCCCAGCGAGUAUUACCGGGACAUCGAGUGCCUCGAAUUCAAGUGCAAGAGUUCCUGCCUGAUGGAGCACUUCAGAGACGGGCAAUGCAAUUCUAACUUACAAUGCGUAUGUACUAACCACUGUCGCAAUGGGAGACGCCCGAUUGAAGGCAGGGACGGCUAGAAACCCCCACCUUUGUUGUAAUGGAAUGUAUGCAAACAAUAAUGUGAUGGUUUGGUUUGUCGACCUGAUUUUUGCUACUGUUCUGAGACAGCAGCAUGCUCGAGAGUUGCAUAAAAAAAAUCUCUGUGUAACUCAAGUAUUGAACACUAAACUUGCUUGCACAUUAAAGGUCAGGCCAGAAAGGUCUUUUUGUCUAAAAAAGGUCGGUUGAAGAUAACUUAACAAACCCUACCUCUGUUUCUAAAUAUAAAAUGUUCUAAUCUUGUCUUUAAGUCAAACCUUUUCAAGUCUGACCAGGUUUAUAAAAAAUGUACUACUAGUAACAUUUAAAAUAUCAUAUAAGUAUACUACAAGGAUAUUAUAUUUAGUAACGGAGUGAGUAUUAUUAAAACAAUUGAUAAAUAAGUGUUUUACGAUCUUAUAAGCAGACAGUCUUGUGUUUCUGCUAUGAUAUUGCCAAAACUUGGGAAACAAAUGAAGUGAAUUGUAUGUUAGUUAUAUAUCCUCAUUUUUAAUAAAAGUUCAAGAUUAAUGAUUUUAGUGAAUAUUUGAUGACUCGAUAGUUUGUAAUUGUAUGUUUCCCCACCUUUGUUGUAAUGGAAUAUAUGCAAACAAUAGUGUGAUGGUUUGGUUUGUCGACCUGAUUUUUGCUAUUGUUCUAACACAGCAGCAUGCUGGAGAGUUGCAUAAUUUUUUCUCUUUUUUAUUAUAGAAAGAAAUAAGAAAAUUUCAUAAUAAAUAAAUAAAUCAUUUCUAACUUGAGUGUUGCACAUUAAAGGUCAGGCCAGAAAGAUCUGUCUUUUCCUGAAACAAAAGUUGGUUCCAGACAACUGAACAAAUAUUGACCUGUCAAAAACAAGAUGAAUGAUCAACUGUCAAAUAAGUACUUUCUGGUCUCUGGAAAAUAUACAGUCCCGUGUUAUGUUACUGGAAGAGAACAAUCUGGGUGCCCUUUUGCACAGCAACUGAUGAGCCAUUUCUAUUCUACAGUACACAUGUUUAUAUUCAUGAUUCAUGAAGAGCGCAAACAUUCCUCACAACAAAAAUUGAUCUCCUAUAUAUAUACAUGUAUGCAACAACAUUAACCACACGGUUGCUUCCCAACUUGCAAAGCUCCAUGGAAAUUGAUCCGACUAUAUAUGGAUCACAUGGUUUGACCUCCUUCACCCACAUCAAAGAUUAUAAUCUUUUUGAAGAUUAAUGUGCAUUCCUAGCUUAAUUUUAGUUCUUGUCUCAAUAUGUACCAAGAUUUCUUAUGUGCGACUUCUUUGCACUUGCUGAGAGAUGUAAGAAAACCUUAAUUGGUAGUAGCAGGUGUGUGAGAGAUGCAUUUGUCCAACUAUCUGUCGGAAGAUAUUGCUUCUUCUAUCCUCCUAAUGACGAUGCUGAGACUAUGUCCACUUUCAAGCGCUUUGACGGCAGCUCUAUGUGCUUUCUUGUGCCACUUCAGAAGGUUGUAAGAUUGCAUCACUGACCAGCGAGCUCUAUUUGCCAUCUGAUAAACAACAGAUAAAUAUUUACAGGCUGUUUUGAUUAAAAUGCACCACCUCUGUUUCAAAAUAUAAGACAUUUUGGUAGACUAUUUUGGCCUACCAAAACGUCUUAUAUUUUGAAACAGAGGUACUAGUAGGCAAGACAUACAACAGAAUAAUAUGGACCUGUGCAAUAGAAAGCGGAGGAUUGAGCAAAAUACACAGACUCCUGAAUAAAUUCUCAUCAUUUUCUCCUCCUUCUGCCUCCCCAUAUACAAGUGCUUCUGCAGCAAUUCCAGCAAAUAGAAUCAUGCAAUAUCUGCAAUCAAGAUCUUGCUUGAGAAAAAACAAACAGAAAUGUUGUAGAAGAACUCCAACCACCAAUAUUGAAACAUAUUACCUAGUAACGUACCUGUCGAAUGCUGUACUUGAUAGAUGACCCUCACCAAGUUCUUUCUCCAUUUUUUCAUCCCAGAACUGUGUCCCUGCCUGCAGAGGUAUGAAAUAACACCCUUGAGAUCUCUGUAAUUAAAUGCAGAUCUCUAUGAAAGGCAUAAAUCUAAGAUCCCUCAGAGAGAAGAACAUAUUAAAGGAAUGUGCCACAACUGUACAAUGCAAAGCAAGGAAAUCUAAUCCUAUAUUCUUAUACGAGACAUCUUCUUGAAGUCUCAGUUAUCAGUACAGUUAGACAUAUAUGCCUCCUAAAUACGCAAAGACUUCUGAAACUGUAACCAAAUCCUACUUGAUAACAAAAUACUUGUAAUUUUCAUAGUAUGGUACUCCCUCUGAUCCAUAAAAAGUGUCGCCCAUUUUGUACUAAGUACAAAUUUUGUACUAAGUGGGCGAGACUUUUUAUGGAUCGGAGGAAGUAUGUAGAAACAUGGGCAAAUUGAACUCAGUUACACCACUUGCUAGCAAUACCAGUAGCACAGUAGUAACUUUUAAGUAGAUUGAAGGUAAAAUUUGGAGAAGGCAAGCUGAUGACAGAAAGUGCAAUGCUUCAUCAGAUAGUAGACAUAAAAACACAAUAAGAACAAUAAAUACAUAAUAUAAUCACAACAUGAAAACCGGUAAAAGUUGUACCUGUCCUUGAAUGCCCAUUCGCAAUGCCACAAAUGGAUCCAGAAUGACUCCUCGUAUAGGGCAACCCAUUAGAUAAGCUAAACAAAGUUCAAUGGAAGUAAGAAAUGUUAGGAUAACAAACUUGUCUCAGAAGUCAGAUGUUAUACAGAUCACAGAAUGAAAUCCUAGCAAAUGAAAGCCACCAUCCAAAGUUGCAUCGAUUACAAGAACUUGAUGAUAUAAAAGGUGGGAGAAAUUAAGGAAAGGAAUACCUGUAAGAAGAUGGCCUGCUUCAUGUACAAGUAUUCUGCGCUUGUAUGGAGGCCAGAAACAUGAUAUUUGUGCAGCACAAGUACCACCAAGCAAAAGUGCAUCUGCUGUCGCUAAUGCCAAUAUGGCAGCCAAGUUAGGCCGGACAUCAAUGCCUUGAGUUAGUAGAAAAGAUACACCUCCAAGAAAUGUAACCAGAACAUAAGGAGAUUUUCCUGAGAGACCCCACUUCUUCGGCGCAAGCUUUGCAGCUGACAAAAAUAAUAUGUGAAGCAGAUAAGAGGUACAGAAGAAAAAGAAAGUCCUUCUGAAUUGAUGUUUCGGCCUAUCUAACCUAUCCAUUGCUAAGAAAGAAGUAGUGCAGUGUGACAUUGACAAAAAAAGAAGAAGAGAAGCACAGAUCUACUACGAUCUUUAAUAAGGAACAGUACAGAAGAAACGGAAUACUGCCUCAAUUCUCACCUUCCAGGCCCGUCAUCUCCUUUAAAAUUGUUGGCGUCACUUCUCUUGGUCCCUCCAGAACUGCAGCAAAAGCAAUGCAUAUACACUGGUCAUGGUCAGUGGGUAUAACUAUCAAUCUGCAAAGGCAGUUUGAAUAAAGCAAAAUUAUGAGUGCAUGGCUCUAUAUAAACUGUAAGACACGUCCAAAUUUUAAGAGAAUUCCUUCGAUGGGACUCAAUCAGUACAUGGAAUCAUCACUAGCCCGUGAUUUUGCAUCCAAUUCCUACACAAACUUCACAGUAGCUUGCAACCUUGCAUUCUAUAGGGACUUCAUACAAGCUAGAAUGCUGGAUUUUACCAAGAACCCUGCAGACAUCAUAGGCUCAUGGCAACAGCUAACACACUGAGUUCCCAACCAGGUCCAAAUUUGAAGGCAAUUGAACAAUUAGGAUAAUAGUUUUGCAUAACAAAACCCUCAUGGGGACUUCAAUUAUCACAUAGAAGACACGACAGAAGAGAGAUCACAAUUCACCUAUGUUUUUGCACUUGCCGAAGUUGGCGAGGAGGCCGCGGUCGGAGAGGAACUGGUAGGCCCGGCCGACGAGCCGCAGGUCGUCGGCGUCGAUGCAUGCGUCCAGCACCUCCCAGUCCCGCCCCGGCUGCACGGGCAGCGCCACCUGUGUCUCUGACGGAGAAUACGCGGGCUCCACCGACUGCAGGAAGCGGAGCGCGCGGGAGAGGUCCUUGCUCUCGACGGCGUCCUCGAACUCGCGCCACUCCUUGAGGGAGCCCGCGCGGAGGCGGGGGACGGGUCCGGGCCCGGGGCGCGGCCGGCGGGAAGGAAAGGGGAGGAAGCGCUUGGAGUUGGAGGAGGGGCCGCGGGCGGAGGCGGGAUUGGCCGCGGUGGAGGCGAGCGGCGGGGGCCAAGAGGUGGUCGCCAUUGGUGCGGUCUCGGAGGUGCGAGCUCCGCUUUGCUCUUACCGUCGUUGCCAACGUGGCGUCCUCCCCUGCCAGUCGUCGGGCCUGCCUGGGCCGGGCCGAUUUGUGCAGGGCCCAUAAAGACUCCCCCAUUGCAGGCCUUUGUUUUCAGUUUUGGCCCAGUUUCUCUCAAGCUCGCCAGACCCAACAGCCUCUCGGGCUAUCCACUCGGCAUUCCCAGCUCGGCCUGUCGGAGCAAGAAGACGAGCGAGCCUCGUCAUUUCCAAUUCCACGCACAACCAUUCCAGAAGCUUCCCUUCCUUUCCCCGCCGCUCCAAAACCAUCAAAUCCAGACCGUCCGUAGGAAAUCCAUGGGCCGAGAACCCGCAGGCGCCGCAUUCCUCUUACCCCUGCUCCAAGACACACACCAAACACCACCCCGAAUAAACCGCCCUCACCCACUGCCAGGCGGUCCCACGUACACCGACCCCACAUGUCACGGAAACACCACCCGGGCAAACCCACCGAAUAUUCGCUCCCCUUCGCAAGCCACGCCUCCGCUUUCUAUAAAGAAACCCCGGAUCGCCCGGCCUGCGUAGCCACAUCCAUCCAUCCAAAGCUUCCUUCGCAUUUCUCACUCCAAUCCCCCCUGCCCAGAUCGCCGCCGAUUCGAUCCGGUUCCCCUUUCUCCACGGUGAGUUUCUCUUCCGGCCGGCCCCGGAUCCGCCGCCGCCGGUGGAUACCUCGCGGGGCUGUGGUUUGAUCGAUGCUUCGUUGGCCUUGCAGGGAUGGCGACCAAGAGGAGCGUGGGCACCCUCGGGGAGGCGGAUCUCAAGGGGAAGAAGGUGUUCGUGCGCGCCGACCUCAACGUGCCGCUCGACGACGCCCAGAAGAUCACCGACGACACCCGCAUCCGCGCCUCCGUGCCCACCAUCAAGUUCCUUCUCGAGAAGGGCGCCAAGGUCAUCCUGGCCAGCCAUCUGGUGAGCACCUCGCCCCCACCUACCCACGCUGUGCUUAUUGAUCCGUGACAUGCUGCAUAUACUAAUAAGAAGCUAAUGGUUGGAUUUGCGAUUUCUGGGAGGACUGGAUAAGAUCGAGUGGUUCUGUGCAAAUUUUGGAGUCAUUUUAGAAUUUUAGAUCAGCGGAUAUAAACUGGUUUGAACUUUUGUUGGAGCUUUAGGGACAUUACGCCUGUGGCUACAGUUUUUGCGUUAGUUAUUUAUUUCUACCGAGGAUGUGAACAUGAGGCCCAGGUGGUUCAUUUUUGUUCUAUGUAAAUAUGUAAGCAAGUCUCCUUGCACGGUUGCACCCCUUAGGUCACUACGUGCGGACCUGCCUAUAAUUAGUGUACGGUUGGACAGGUUCUGUUAAUUUUAGUUAGUACAGUUAUGUGGAUAAUCUGUAAUGGACCUCACUUAUUAUAUGAAUUGGGAUGAUAAGUAGUUAUAUCUCAGUUGAGGCGAUUGAAAUUCAAGAAUGUGCCUGUCCAGCUUCCCCCGCAAUUCCCUUUUCUGUUUAACAAAUUUCAUUGUUUACUUUCCUUUUGUUUGAUAGGUGCCAAAAAUAAACUUCCAUCAAUUGUGAUGGUUUAGUGUUUCUUAUUUUGAAGUUGUUUGUGCCGCCACACUUCACAUGUCACAUACAGAGCAUUCUUGUUUGAUGUUGUCUCGAUAGCAUGUCAAAAAUAGUAUUCCAACAUUAGAUGGAAUGAUACGAUUAUUUUUGUUCCUGCUACCCUUUUAGCCUUUCGCAUGAUGAUAAUUGUCGGUAGUGUACUGAGCUUACAACUAUUCAGACUAAACAGUUUCUAUUGUAUCAUGAGUAAUUGUGUUGCUUGCACCUGAUUUUGCAUCCUCAACAAUCAACUUUAGGCUGUGGUCUUUGAAUUAGAAGUUUAUUGUUCAAAUCAAGGCUAGUUUAUUAUCUUAUGUAGAAAAGUUAGUUAGGUCGCUUGGCAUCUGAUGAUCAAAAACACAAGGAAAACUGUUGCCAAUGUACAAAGUGUGUUCUUUUUUCUGAUGUAACUCAUAAUUGUAAUUUCCAGGGCCGCCCAAAAGGUGUCACCCCCAAGUUCAGCUUGAAGCCUCUUGUUCCACGCUUGUCUGAGCUCCUUGGAAUUGAUGUAUGUUAUGGAAGAUAGAAGCUCAUGAUUAUUUCAGUUAUCUCUUUGAAUUAGAUUAAGUUCACUUACACUACAUCUGUUUAUGUUUGUGUAAAUAGGUUGUGAUGGCCAAUGACUGCAUCGGUGAGGAAGUUGAGAAAUUGGCUGCUGCUUUGCCAGAUGGUGGUGUUCUACUCCUAGAGAAUGUUAGAUUCUACAAGGAGGAAGAGAAGAACGACCCAGAGUUUGCUAAGAAGCUUGCAUCUGUCGCUGACCUUUAUGUAAAUGAUGCUUUCGGCACAGCACACAGAGCUCAUGCCUCAACGGAGGGCGUAACCAAGUUUUUGAGGCCUUCUGUUGCUGGAUUCCUCAUGCAGAAGGUAUAGCUGAAAUAAAUCUCAUUCCUGCUCAUUAUUUGCAUGAAAUCAUAAAUUCAUCUUCCUGUAGUUAGCUCAUGCUUAGAUUAAGGUAUUACCCCAAGAAGCAGUUCAUUCAAUCGUAGGAGACAGGAGAUGAAAUAGAAUUUUAAAGAGCACAAGUUGGCUAGAACAUGAUUCCUUCGCUGUCUUCAGUUUGCAACCUUUGGGUGAUAAGUUAAGAUGCGUAUGUAGAUUUUUUAGAAAACUAAAGUGCAACUAAUAUUUUAAUUAUCCCAGGAACUUGACUAUCUUGUUGGAGCUGUUGCCAACCCAAAGAAGCCAUUCGCUGCCAUUGUUGGUGGAUCCAAGGUCUCAUCCA
rnacentral:lncRNA from 1 species